rnacentral:rRNA from 1 species
AGAGUUUGAUCAUGGCUCAGAUUGAACGCUGGCGGCAGGCCUAACACAUGCAAGUCGAACGGUAGCAGGAAACAGCUUGCUGUUUCGCUGACGAGUGGCGGACGGGUGAGUAAUGUCUGGGAAACUGCCUGAUGGAGGGGGAUAACUACUGGAAACGGUAGCUAAUACCGCAUAACGUCGCAAGACCAAAGAGGGGGACCUUCGGGCCUCUUGCCAUCAGAUGUGCCCAGAUGGGAUUAGCUAGUAGGUGGGGUAACGGCUCACCUAGGCGACGAUCCCUAGCUGGUCUGAGAGGAUGACCAGCCACACUGGAACUGAGACACGGUCCAGACUCCUACGGGAGGCAGCAGUGGGGAAUAUUGCACAAUGGGCGCAAGCCUGAUGCAGCCAUGCCGCGUGUAUGAAGAAGGCCUUCGGGUUGUAAAGUACUUUCAGCGGGGAGGAAGGGAGUAAAGUUAAUACCUUUGCUCAUUGACGUUACCCGCAGAAGAAGCACCGGCUAACUCCGUGCCAGCAGCCGCGGUAAUACGGAGGGUGCAAGCGUUAAUCGGAAUUACUGGGCGUAAAGCGCACGCAGGCGGUUUGUUAAGUCAGAUGUGAAAUCCCCGGGCUCAACCUGGGAACUGCAUCUGAUACUGGCAAGCUUGAGUCUCGUAGAGGGGGGUAGAAUUCCAGGUGUAGCGGUGAAAUGCGUAGAGAUCUGGAGGAAUACCGGUGGCGAAGGCGGCCCCCUGGACGAAGACUGACGCUCAGGUGCGAAAGCGUGGGGAGCAAACAGGAUUAGAUACCCUGGUAGUCCACGCCGUAAACGAUGUCGACUUGGAGGUUGUGCCCUUGAGGCGUGGCUUCCGGAGCUAACGCGUUAAGUCGACCGCCUGGGGAGUACGGCCGCAAGGUUAAAACUCAAAUGAAUUGACGGGGGCCCGCACAAGCGGUGGAGCAUGUGGUUUAAUUCGAUGCAACGCGAAGAACCUUACCUGGUCUUGACAUCCACGGAAGUUUUCAGAGAUGAGAAUGUGCCUUCGGGAACCGUGAGACAGGUGCUGCAUGGCUGUCGUCAGCUCGUGUUGUGAAAUGUUGGGUUAAGUCCCGCAACGAGCGCAACCCUUAUCCUUUGUUGCCAGCGGUCCGGCCGGGAACUCAAAGGAGACUGCCAGUGAUAAACUGGAGGAAGGUGGGGAUGACGUCAAGUCAUCAUGCCCCUUACGACCAGGGCUACACACGUGCUACAAUGGCGCAUACAAAGAGAAGCGACCUCGCGAGAGCAAGCGGACCUCAUAAAGUGCGUCGUAGUCCGGAUUGGAGUCUGCAACUCGACUCCAUGAAGUCGGAAUCGCUAGUAAUCGUGGAUCAGAAUGCCACGGUGAAUACGUUCCCGGGCCUUGUACACACCGCCCGUCACACCAUGGGAGUGGGUUGCAAAAGAAGUAGGUAGCUUAACCUUCGGGAGGGCGCUUACCACUUUGUGAUUCAUGACUGGGG